UACGUAGGGGGCAAGCGUUGUCCGGAAUCAUUGGGCGUAAAGAGCGCGUAGGCGGCCCAGUAAGUCCGCUCUGAAAGUCAGGGGCUCAACCCCUGAAUGCGGGUGGAUACUGCCGGACUAGAGUUCGGAAGAGGCGAGCGGAAUUCCCGGUGUAGCGGUGAAAUGCGCAGAUAUCGGGAGGAACACCAAUGGCGAAGGCAGCUCGCUGGGACGUUACUGACGCUGAGACGCGAAAGCGUGGGGAGCAAACAGG
rnacentral:rRNA from 1 species